CAGUCGCCACGGGAAAACGGAGGGUGCAAGCGUUAUCCGGAUUUAUUGGGUUUAAAGGGUCCGUAGGCGGAUCUGUAAGUCAGUGGUGAAAUCUCACAGCUUAACUGUGAAACUGCCAUUGAUACUGCAGGUCUUGAGUAAAUUUGAAGUGGCUGGAAUAAGUAGUGUAGCGGUGAAAUGCAUAGAUAUUACUUAGAACACCAAUUGCGAAGGCAGGUCACUAAGAUUUAACUGACGCUGAUGGACGAAAGCGUGGGGAGCGAACAGGAUUAGAUACCCGAGUAGUCCCUGUCUCUUAUAC
rnacentral:rRNA from 1 species